rnacentral:rRNA from 1 species
CAGUAGCCGCGGUAAUACGGAGGGUGCAAGCGUUAAUCGGAAUUACUGGGCGUAAAGCGCACGCAGGCGGUCUGACAAGUCAGAUGUGAAAUCCCCGGGCUUAACCUGGGAACUGCAUUUGAAACUGUCAGGCUGGAGUCUUGUAGAGGGGGGUGGAAUUCCAGGUGUAGCGGUGAAAUGCGUAGAGAUCUGGAGGAAUACCGGUGGCGAAGGCGGCCCCCUGGACAAAGACUGACGCUCAGGUGCGAAAGCGUGGGGAGCAAACAGGAUUAGAUACUCCUGUAGUCCCUGUCUCUUAUAC